AACGAGGCCGACCUGCGGCUGAGUUACCUGCGGAAGGAUCAUUACCGAGUGCGGGUCCGCGUGGCCCAACCUCCCACCCGUGCCUAUUGUACCCUGUUGCUUCGGCGGGCCCGCCAGCCUUCGGGCUGGCCGCCGGGGGGCGUCUCGCCCCCGGGCCCGUGCCCGCCGGAGACCCCAACAUGAACCCUGUUCUGAAAGCUUGGUGUCUGAGUGUGAUUGUUUGCAAUCAGUUAAAACUUU
rnacentral:misc_RNA from 1 species